rnacentral:rRNA from 1 species
UUGACCUCGGAUCAGGUAGGAAUACCCGCUGAACUUAAGCAUAUCAAUAAGCGGAGGAAAAGAAACCAACAGGGAUUGCCCUAGUAACGGCGAGUGAAGCGGCAACAGCUCAAAUUUGAAAUCUGGCCUCGGCCCGAGUUGUAAUUUGCAGAGGAUGCUUCUGGCGCGGUGCCUUCCGAGUUCCCUGGAACGGGACGCCACAGAGGGUGAGAGCCCCGUAUGGUCGGACACCAAGCCUGUGUGAAGCUCCUUCGACGAGUCGAGUAGUUUGGGAAUGCUGCUCUAAAUGGGAGGUAAAUCUCUUCUAAAGCUAAAUACCGGCCAGAGACCGAUAGCGCACAAGUAGAGUGAUCGAAAGAUGAAAAGCACCUUGAAAAGGGGGUUAAAUAGUACGUGAAAUUGUUGAAAGGGAAGCACUUGUGACCAGACUUGGGCCGGGCGGCUCAUCAGGGGUUCUCCCCUGUGCACUCCGCCCGGCACAGGCCAGCAUCGGUUUUCGCGGGGGGACAAGACCGCCGGGAACGUAGCACCCUCCGGGGUGUGUUAUAGCCCGGCGGACG